rnacentral:rRNA from 1 species
AUGAACGCUAGCGACAGGCUUAACACAUGCAAGUCGAGGGGCAGCAUGAUUUGUAGCAAUACAGAUUGAUGGCGACCGGCGCACGGGUGAGUAACGCGUAUGCAACUUACCUAUCAGAGGGGGAUAGCCCGGCGAAAGUCGGAUUAAUACCCCAUAAAACAGGGGUCCCGCAUGGGAAUAUUUGUUAAAGAUUCAUCGCUGAUAGAUAGGCAUGCGUUCCAUUAGGCAGUUGGCGGGGUAACGGCCCACCAAACCGACGAUGGAUAGGGGUUCUGAGAGGAAGGUCCCCCACAUUGGUACUGAGACACGGACCAAACUCCUACGGGAGGCAGCAGUGAGGAAUAUUGGUCAAUGGCCGAGAGGCUGAACCAGCCAAGUCGCGUGAAGGAAGAAGGAUCUAUGGUUUGUAAACUUCUUUUAUAGGGGAAUAAAGUGGAGGACGUGUCCUUUUUUGUAUGUACCCUAUGAAUAAGCAUCGGCUAACUCCGUGCCAGCAGCCGCGGUAAUACGGAGGAUGCGAGCGUUAUCCGGAUUUAUUGGGUUUAAAGGGUGCGUAGGUGGUGAUUUAAGUCAGCGGUGAAAGUUUGUGGCUCAACCAUAAAAUUGCCGUUGAAACUGGGUUACUUGAGUGUGUUUGAGGUAGGCGGAAUGCGUGGUGUAGCGGUGAAAUGCAUAGAUAUCACGCAGAACUCCGAUUGCGAAGGCAGCUUACUAAACCAUAACUGACACUGAAGCACGAAAGCGUGGGGAUCAAACAGGAUUAGAUACCCUGGUAGUCCACGCAGUAAACGAUGAUUACUAGGAGUUUGCGAUACAAUGUAAGCUCUACAGCGAAAGCGUUAAGUAAUCCACCUGGGGAGUACGCCGGCAACGGUGAAACUCAAAGGAAUUGACGGGGGCCCGCACAAGCGGUGGAGCAUGUGGUUUAAUUCGAAGCAACGCGAAGAACCUUACCUAGACUUGACAUCUCCUGAAUUACCCUUAAUCGGGGAAGCCCUUCGGGGCAGGAAGACAGGUGGUGCAUGGUUGUCGUCAGCUCGUGUCGUGAGAUGUUGGGUUAAGUCCCGCAACGAGCGCAACCCUUAUCACUAGUUACUAACAGGUGAAGCUGAGGACUCUGGUGAGACUGCCAGCGUAAGCUGUGAGGAAGGUGGGGAUGACGUCAAAUCAGCACGGCCCUUACAUCCGGGGCGACACACGUGUUACAAUGGCAUGGACAAAGGGCAGCUACCUGGUGACAGGAUGCUAAUCUCCAAACCAUGUCUCAGUUCGGAUCGGAGUCUGCAACUCGACUCCGUGAAGCUGGAUUCGCUAGUAAUCGCGCAUCAGCCAUGGCGCGGUGAAUACGUUCCCGGGCCUUGUACACACCGCCCGUCAAGCCAUGGGAGCCGGGGGUACCUGAAGUCCGUAACCGCAAGGAUCGGCCUAGGGUAAAACUGGUGACUGGGGCU